CUACGGGCCGCAGCAGUGAGGAAUAUUGGUCAAUGGGCGCAAGCCUGAACCAGCCAUCCCGCGUGGAGGAAGACGGCCCUAUGGGUUGUAAACUCCUUUUAUAAGGGAAGAAUAUACGUAUCGUGAUAUGUUUUGACGGUACCUUAUGAAUAAGCAUCGGCUAACUCCGUGCCAGCAGCCGCGGUAAUACGGAGGAUGCAAGCGUUAUCAGGAUUCAUUGGGUUUAAAGGGUGCGCAGGCGGACCAAUAAGUCAGUGGUGAAAUCUUACGGCUCAACCGUGAAACUGCCAUUGAUACUGUUAGUCUUGAGUACGGCUGAGGUAGGCGGAAUGUGUAAUGUAGCGGUGAGAUGCUUAGAUAUUACACAGAACACCAAUUGCGUAGGCAGCUUACUAGACCGUAACUGACGCUGAGGCACGAAAGCGUGGGUAGCGAACAGGAUUAGAUACCCCAGUAGUC
rnacentral:rRNA from 1 species